rnacentral:rRNA from 1 species
AUUGAACGCUGGCGGCAGGCCUAACACAUGCAAGUCGAACGGUAACAGGAAGAAGCUUGCUUCUUUGCUGACGAGUGGCGGACGGGUGAGUAAUGUCUGGGAAACUGCCUGAUGGAGGGGGAUAACUACUGGAAACGGUAGCUAAUACCGCAUAACGUCGCAAGACAAAAGAGGGGGACCUUCGGGCCUCUUGCCAUCGGAUGUGCCCAGAUGGGAUUAGCUAGUAGGUGGGGUAACGGCUCACCUAGGCGACGAUCCCUAGCUGGUCUGAGAGGAUGACCAGCCACACUGGAACUGAGACACGGUCCAGACUCCUACGGGAGGCAGCAGUGGGGAAUAUUGCACAAUGGGCGCAAGCCUGAUGCAGCCAUGCCGCGUGUAUGAAGAAGGCCUUCGGGUUGUAAAGUACUUUCAGCGGGGAGGAAGGGAGUAAAGUUAAUACCUUUGCUCAUUGACGUUACCCGCAGAAGAAGCACCGGCUAACUCCGUG